UACGAAGGGGAGCUAGCGUUGCUCGGAAUCACUGGGCGUAAAGGGUGCGUAGGCGGGUCUUUAAGUCAGGGGUGAAAUCCUGGAGCUCAACUCCAGAACUGCCUUUGAUACUGAAGAUCUUGAGUUCGGGAGAGGUGAGUGGAACUGCGAGUGUAGAGGUGAAAUUCGUAGAUAUUCGCAAGAACACCAGUGGCGAAGGCGGCUCACUGGCCCGAUACUGACGCUGAGGCACGAAAGCGUGGGGAGCAAACAGG
rnacentral:rRNA from 1 species